rnacentral:rRNA from 1 species
CUCAGUAACACGUGGCCAACCUACCCCAAGGAGGGGGAUAACCCCGGGAAACUGGGGCAUAAACCCCCAUAGGUGAUGGGCUCUGGAAGGACCCAUCGCCGAAAGUGUGCCAAGAGGAUGCUCUUGGCACAGCCUUGGGAUGGGGCUGCGGCCGAUCAGGUAGUUGGUGGGGUAACGGCCCACCAAGCCUAUAACCGGUACGGGCCCUGAGAGGGGGAGCCCGGAGAUGGACUCUGAGACAAGAGUCCAGGCCCUACGGGGCGCAGCAGGCGCGAAACCUUCGCAAUGCGCGCAAGCGCGACGAGGCCACCCCGAGUGCCACCCUCGUGGUGGCUUUUGCCCAGUGUGAACAGCUGGGCGAAUAAGCGGGGGGCAAGACGGGUGUCAGCCGCCGCGGUAAUACCCGCUCCGCGAGUGGUGGGGACUUUUACUGGGCUUAAAGCGUCCGUAGCCGGCCCAGCGUGUUCUCUGUUAAAUCCGGCGGCCUAACCGCCGGGCUGCGGAGAAUACUGCUGGGCUUGGGGGUGGGAGAGGCCGACGGUACUCCCGGGGUAGGGGUAAAAUCCACUGAUCCCGGGAGGACCACCAGUGGCGAAGGCGGUCGGCCAGAACACGCCCGACGGUGAGGGACGAAAGCUGGGGGAGCGAUCGGGAUUAGAUACCCCGGUAGUCCCAGCCGUAAACGAUGCGGGCUAGGUGUCACGCCAGCUACGGGCUGGCGUGGUGCCGAAGGGAAACCAUUAAGCCCGCCGCCUGGGGAG